rnacentral:rRNA from 1 species
CCUACGGGAGGCAUCAGUGAGGAAUAUUUGUCAAUGGACGAGAGUCUGAACCAGCCAAGUAGCGUGAAGGAUGACUGCCCUAUGGGUUGUAAACUUCUUUUAUAUGGGAAUAAAAUGUUCCACGUGUGGGAUUUUGUAUGUACCAUAUGAAUAAGGAUCGGCUAACUCCGUGCCAGCAGCCGCGGUAAUACGGAGGAUCCGAGCGUUAUCCGGAUUUAUUGGGUUUAAAGGGAGCGUAGGUGGAUUGUUAAGUCAGUUGUGAAAGUUUGCGGCUCAACCGUAGAAUUGCAGUUGAAACUGGCAGUCUUGAGUACAGUAGAGGUGGGCGGAAUUCGUGGUGUAGCGGUGAAAUGCUUAGAUAUCACGAAGAACUCCGAUUGCGAAGGCAGUUCACUGGACUGCAACUGACACUGAGGCUCGAAAGUGUGGGUAUCAAACAGGAUUAGAUACCCUAGUAGUC